rnacentral:tRNA from 1 species
AUUUAUGUAGUUUAUUAAAACAUUACAUUUUCAUUGUAAAAAUAAAAUUUAAAUUUUCAUAAAUA